AUUGAACGCUGGCGGCAGGCCUAACACAUGCAAGUCGAACGGUAACAGGAAGAAGCUUGCUUCUUUGCUGACGAGUGGCGGACGGGUGAGUAAUGUCUGGGAAACUGCCUGAUGGAGGGGGAUAACUACUGGAAACGGUAGCUAAUACCGCAUAACGUCGCAAGACCAAAGAGGGGGACCUUCGGGCCUCUUGCAAUCGGAUGUGCCCAGAUGGGAUUAGCUAGUAGGUGGGGUAACGGCUCACCUAGGCGACGAUCCCUAGCUGGUCUGAGAGGAUGACCAGCCACACUGGAACUGAGACACGGUCCAGACUCCUACGGGAGGCAGCAGUGGGGAAUAUUGAACAAUGGGCGCAAGCCUGAUGCAGCCAUGCCGCGUGUAUGAAGAAGGCCUUCGGGUUGUAAAGUACUUUCAGCGGGGAGGAAGGGAGUAAAGUUAAUACCUUUGCUCAUUGACGUUACCCGCAGAAGAAGCACCGGCUAACUCCGUG
rnacentral:rRNA from 1 species